rnacentral:rRNA from 1 species
UACGGGGGGGGCAAGCGUUGUUCGGAAUUACUGGGCGUAAAGGGCUCGUAGGCGGCCAACUAAGCCGGAUGUGAAAUCCCCAGGCUCAACUUGGGAACUGCAUCCGAUACUGGAUGGCUUGAAUUCGGGAGAGGGAUGCAGAAUUCCAGGUGUAGCGGUGAAAUGCGUAGAUAUCUGGAGGAACACCGGUGGCGAAGGCGGCAUCCUGGACCGGCAUUGACGCUGAGGAGCGAAAGCUAGGGGAGCAAACGGG